UUUUUAUGGCACUGCCGAC
rnacentral:piRNA from 1 species